GACUACUGGCAGGAUCAACCAGGUAGCAUUCAUUUCUAGACCUCUGUGCAUCCCAAGGACGACCGCGGAACGGGGGGGCUCCGUGAGCACCGAGGAAAGCACGAGGGUCACCCGAGCGGAAGCAAAGCUUCGUCGCGACGUGACCGCGCGGCCAACGAAGGACCGCGCGACGAGAAGAGGGGUCACCAUACCCGAGAGCACGCGGACGGCAUCGACGCACCGACGCGAGCGCAAACGCCCAAGAGUUGGACGACCGCACGGACGGAAAGCGCCGAUGCCCGCACGAUAUCACCCGACGCACGGGAUGCGGGGGAGAAACAAGGAACCGAGACAGGGACGACAAUGAAUCCACGUACCGCAAUCGGGUAUCUAGCGCAGGAACCCAACCAACGCCCGCCACCGAACCUCGGGGCGAGCGAUCGAAUGAAGCGGAUGGUACCGGAGCAGUUCGGUGCCCGAAGCACGGAGCCUGCUAGGGAACACAUCCUGGAAGCCACUCAUGCGUCGUCCCAACGCUGCCCGAAGAGAACGUCCGACGACCCGACGCCGCCACCCGGAGGAGGAGGGGCCGGACGAACGAGACGCGCCCCGGACAAGCCUGCUAG
rnacentral:misc_RNA from 1 species